UAAUUUUUUGUUUCUAUAGUUUUAUGUAAAGUAUUAAUGCUGCAUAAAUAUAUAACUGAUUUGAAAAGAAAAUUAACUGAAAGAACUGAAACUAGAGAAAAGAUGAUCAAAAGAGUUUAAGCAGCAGAAAUUUAGAAAUACAAAAUACAAACCCCAAAUCCAACAUGCACAGCCCAUUAUAUUUAUUAUUCUACCACACUGUUUACUCUGAAUUAAUGCUUUAGCUAUAGAUAACAUGAAACGGAAUAAAAAUGAUAUUUUCAAAGUUUAUAUUUACACUAUCAUAGUCAUUAUAUAUAUAUAUAUAUAUAUAUAUAUAGUGUUUUCCUGGUUUUGCUUAAUUCACUCCACCUCAAUUUAUAUAAAUCUUUCCUUACUCAUGCUUCUUAAUACUUUCAUCCUUGGAAUUCCUGUCUUGGUGCCCUGCUGUCUGGAAUAAAUUGCCCCAGUUGUGCUUUACUUCAUUCCCUGGGAAAUUUUUGGCCAGCCACCAUGUUGCUAUCCUUCUCUUUUUUUCCCAUUUCUAGGAUAAUAAUCAAAUCAAUAGUGUCAUGAUAUAUCAAUCUAUUACCUGAUGGCUCCAUUCACCAUUGCUAUGACAUUAAAAAACCAGAAUUUCCUCUGUGGCCACCUAUUUGUAUUAUAUCUACCUGUUUCCAAAUAAGAUUGUAAAUUCAUUGUAAGCAGGAUUGCAUAAAGUUUGGUAUUUAUAUCUCCAGAAUUUUGCAUAAUGCUUGGAACUCAAGAAUUGUUAAAUAAAUGUUUUCAAUUGUUCAGUUAUUCCUUCUCUAUACUCUUCACGUUUUUUUUUUUACAGCCCACUAAUAUUAUUUUGCAUUAAUAUAUAUAACUUGUUAUAAACUAUUUAAAUGAAUUAACAUCUAUUUUGUUUCUGUUUCUAUGCUACAACAAAAGUGCUAAAAAUACAAAUAUUUGAGGGUCUUUCUUUUUUCUUUCUUUCUUUUUUUUUUUUUUUUUUUUUUUUUUUUUUUUUUUUUACCAUUUUUCUAGUUGUUAUAACCCAGUAGUAGAAUCUCUGAGUGAAAAGAGAUAUUGUGAAUCACUUUCUUCAUAUAAUUCCAUGUUACUUUCCACAAUAACACCCCAUUCCUAGCUUCACUAACAGUACAUUAAGAUGGCGAUCCUCUAAUAUAUAAACAUGGCAGCACCUCUAAUGUUUCCAUCUUGUGUGACAUUUAUCAAUUUGAUAACUGUAAGGCAAACUAUAGAGUUCUUUUGCUUUGUAUUUAUCUUAUUUUUAGAGAUUUGGAGCAAUUUUCCAUAAGGUUAUUAAUUGUUUCGCACUUCAAAAACAAUGUCCUCAUGUAAAUUGACCAUUUAUGCAGUGAGGAAAUUAGGAUAUCUAGUAUUGUAUAAUAUUACUUAGUAUAAGAAGUCUUAUUCAAUCACAUAAAUAUUGAUGUUAUUCUAGAUAUAGAAAUGAUAAAAAUAAUGCUUGUUAAAUCAUAUGCAAAGUAUCUUAAGCAUCAUUUUAAAAUGAUAUUGUAAAAAGUGCCUAUAUAUCUAUUUAUUUGUUUAUGUAUUCAUUUGUUUGUUUUUGCUGAGGUAAUUGGGGUUAAAUGACUUGUGCAGGUCACACAGGUAGGAAGUGUCUGAGGUCAAAUUUGAACUCAGGUCCUCCUGACUUCAGGGCUGGCACUCUGUCCACUAUGCCACCUAGCUGCCCCUGAAUUAUUGAAGAAAUUUUUGCAUUGCAAAUGGAUAAAGCAACAUAAGAAGCAAGAGAUGAUCAUUUAAUCAUAUUUUAUGAUAUAUUAAAAUAUUGAGAAAAUUUCA
rnacentral:lncRNA from 1 species